rnacentral:rRNA from 1 species
UACGGAGGGAGCUAGCGUUAUUCGGAAUUACUGGGCGUAAAGCGCACGUAGGCGGCUUUGUAAGUAAGAGGUGAAAGCCCGGAGCUCAACUCCGGAACUGCCUUUUAGACUGCAUCGCUUGAAUCCAGGAGAGGUGAGUGGAAUUCAGAGUGUAGAGGUGAAAUUCGUAGAUAUUCGGAAGAACACCAGUGGCGAAGGCGGCUCACUGGACUGGUAUUGACGCUGAGGUGCGAAAGCGUGGGGAGCAAACAGG